AUUGAACGCUGGCGGCAGGCCUAACACAUGCAAGUCGCGCGAGCGGCGGACGGGUGAGUAAUGUAUGGGGACUGCCCGAUAGAGGGGGAUAACUACUGGAAACGGUGGCUAAUACCGCAUACUAUCGGAUAACCCAUAUGGGAUUAGUUAGUAGGUGGGGUAAAGGCUCACCUAGGCGACGAUCUCUAGCUGGUCUGAUAGUAUGAUCAGCCACACUUGGACUGAGACACGGCCCAGAGGCCUACGGAGGCAGCAGUGGGGAAUAUUGCACAAUUGGCGCAAGCCUGAUGCAGCCAUGCCGCUUGUAUGAAGAAGGCCUUAGGGUUGUAAAGUACUUUCAGCGGGGAGGCGUUACCCACAGAAGAAGCACCGGCUAACUCCGUGCCAGCAGCCGCGGUAAUUC
rnacentral:rRNA from 1 species